rnacentral:rRNA from 1 species
AGGAUCAUUGUCGAACCUGCAUUAUGCAAAAAGACUCCUGCCUCGGUGCAUUGCAUCGUGUCGGCGAGUGUAUUCGAUAAGUCAUAACGACUCUCGGCAACGGAUAUCUCGGCUCUCGCAUCGAUGAAGAACGUAGCAAAAUGCGAUACGUGGUGUGAAUUGCAGGAUCCCGUGAACCAUCGAGUUUUUGAACGCAAGUUGCGCCCGAAGCCUUUAGGCCGAGGGCACGUCUGCCUGGGCGUCACGCACCGUUGCCCCCCAAACCCCCUCAGUCCUCCACGGAGGAUUGGCGAGGCGCGUGGGGGGCGUAAAGUGGCUUCCCGUCGGCUUUGUCCCGCGGUUGGCCUAAAAAUGAAUCCCUAGCCGCGGUGCGCGCGGCAUUCGGUGGUCAUCGAUCCCUUUCGUUACCCCGCCGCGCGCUCACGUGCCGCGAAGGAUGUCACACUAGUAAACCCGACGCCUCGCUUUGUGAAGAGCGGAGCUUACAACGCGACCCCAGGUCAGGCGGGGCUACCCGCUGAA